rnacentral:rRNA from 1 species
CCUACGGGAGGCAGCAGUGAGGAAUAUUGGUCAAUGGACGAGAGUCUGAACCAGCCAAGUAGCGUGAAGGAUGACUGCCCUAUGGGUUGUAAACUUCUUUUAUAUGGGAAUAAAACGUUCCACGUGUGGGAUUUUGUAUGUACCAUAUGAAUAAGGAUCGGCUAACUCCGUGCCAGCAGCCGCGGUAAUACGGAGGAUCCGAGCGUUAUCCGGAUUUAUUGGGUUUAAAGGGAGCGUAGGUGGAUUGUUAAGUCAGUUGUGAAAGUUUGCGGCUCAACCGUAAAAUUGCAGUUGAAACUGGCAGUCUUGAGUACAGGAGAGGUGGGCGGAAUUCGUGGUGUAGCGGUGAAAUGCUUAGAUAUCACGAAGAACUCCGAUUGCGAAGGCAGUUCACUGGACUGCAACUGACACUGAGGCUCGAAAGUGUGGGUAUCAAACAGGAUGAGAUACCCCAGUAGUC